UACGUAGGGGCCUAGCGUUGUCCGGAUUUAUUGGCGUAAAGAGCUCGUAGGCGGUUUGUCGCGUCUGCUGUGAAAACCUAAGGCUCAACCUUGGGCUUGCAGUGGGUACGGGCAGACUAGAGUGCGGUAGGGGUGACUGGAAUUCCUGGUGUAGCGGUGAAAUGCGCAGAUAUCAGGAGGAACACCGAUGGCGAAGGCAGGUCUCUGGGCCACUACUGACGCUGAGAAAGCGAAAGCGUGGGGGAGCGAACAGG
rnacentral:rRNA from 1 species